GAUGAACGCUGGCGGCGUGCCUAAUACAUGCAAGUCGAGCGAACAGACGAGGAGCUUGCUCCUCUGACGUUAGCGGCGGACGGGUGAGUAACACGUGGAUAACCUACCUAUAAGACUGGGAUAACUUCGGGAAACCGGAGCUAAUACCGGAUAAUAUAUUGAACCGCAUGGUUCAAUAGUGAAAGACGGUUUUGCUGUCACUUAUAGAUGGAUCCGCGCCGCAUUAGCUAGUUGGUAAGGUAGCGGCUUACCAAGGCGACGAUGCGUAGCCGACCUGAGAGGGUGAUCGGCCACACUGGAACUGAGACACGGUCCAGACUCCUACGGGAGGCAGCAGUAGGGAAUCUUCCGCAAAGGGCGAAAGCCUGACGGAGCAACGCCGCGUGAGUGAUGAAGGUCUUCGGAUCGUAAAACUCUGUUAUUAGGGAAGAACAAAUGUGUAAGUAACCAUGCACGUCUUGACGGUACCUAAUCAGAAAGCCACGGCUAACUACGUG
rnacentral:rRNA from 1 species